rnacentral:rRNA from 1 species
GUUUAUUUGGAGAUAUAUAUAAUUUAACCUGCCCCCUGAUUACAAAUUUAAGGGCCGCAGUAUUAUAACUGUGCAAAGGUAGCAUAAUCAUUAGGUUUUUAAUUAGAAUCUUGUAUGAAUGGUUGGACAAAAGAAAAACUCUCUUUAUAUUAAAUUUUGAAUUUAACUUUUAAGUGAAAAGGCUUAAAUAUACUAAAGGGACGAUAAGACCCUAUAAAACUUUACAUUGUAAUUACAUUUUUUUAAAUUUAAUAAAUAAAGAUUUAAUUUAAUUAUUUGUUAGGCUGGGGAGGCACGGAUAAACAUUAUUUUAACUGUUUGAUUAAUAAACAAUUAUUAAUGGAAACAUAAUAGAUCCUUUAUAAAGAUUGAUAAAUUAAGUUACUUUAGGGAUAACAGCGUAAUUUCUUUUGAGAGUUCUUAUCGAAAAAGAAGAUUGUGACCUCGAUGUUGAAUUAAAUAUUCUGUAUAAUGAAGAAGUUAUAUAAGAAGGUCUGUUCGACCUUUAAAAUUUUACAUGAUUUGAGUUCAAACCGGUGUGAGCCAGGUUGUUUUCCCUAUUCUAA